rnacentral:rRNA from 1 species
GAUGAACGCUGGCGGCGUGCCUAAUACAUGCAAGUCGAGCGAAUGGAUUAAGAGCUUGCUCUUAUGAAGUUAGCGGCGGACGGGUGAGUAACACGUGGGUAACCUGCCCAUAAGACUGGGAUAACUCCGGGAAACCGGGGCUAAUACCGGAUAACAUUUUGAACCGCAUGGUUCGAAAUUGAAAGGCGGCUUCGGCUGUCACUCAUGGAUGGACCCGCGUCGCAUUAGCUAGUUGGUGAGGUAACGGCUCACCAAGGCAACGAUGCGUAGCCGACCUGAGAGGGGGAUCGGCCACACUGGGACUGGGACACGGCCCAGACUCCUACGGGAGGCGGCAGUAGGGAAUCUUCCGCAAUGGACGAAAGUCUGACGGAGCAACGCCGCGUGAGUGAUGAAGGCUUUCGGGUCGUAAAACUCUGUUGUUAGGGAAGAACAAGUGCUAGUUGAAUAAGCUGGCACCUUGACGGUACCUAACCAGAAAGCCACGGCUAACUACGUGCCAGCCGCCGCAGUAA